AGGACGAACGCUGGCGGCGUGCCUAACACAUGCAAGUCGAACGAGGUCCAACCGGUGGCAACACUGGUGAAGACCUAGUGGCGAACGGGUGAGUAUCACGUGAGCAACCUGCCCCGAAGACUGGGAUAACACCGGGAAACCGGUGCUAAUACCGGAUACCCCACCCGGAUCGCAUGGUCUGGUGAGGAAAUGAAUUUUGUCUUUGGGUAGGGACUCGCGGCCUAUCAGCUUGUUGGUGGUGUAACGGACCACCAAGGCUUCGACGGGUAGCUGGUCUGAGAGGACGAUCAGCCACACUGGGACUGAGACACGGCCCAGACUCCUACGGGAGGCAGCAGUGGGGAAUCUUGCGCAAUGGGCGAAAGCCUGACGCAGCAACGCCGCGUGUGGGACGAAGGCCUUCUGGGUUGUAAACCACUUUCAGCAGGGACGAUUGUGACGGUACCUGCAGAGAAGCCCCGGCAACUACGUGCCAGCAGCCGC
rnacentral:rRNA from 1 species